CAGUAGCCGCGGUAAUACGUAGGGUGCGAGCGUUAAUCGGAAUUACUGGGCGUAAAGCGUGCGCAGGCGGUUUGUUAAGACGGAUGUGAAAUCCCCGGGCUCAACCUGGGAACUGCAUUCGAGACUGGCAAGCUAGAGUAUGGCAGAGGGGGGUAGAAUUCCACGUGUAGCAGUGAAAUGCGUAGAGAUGUGGAAGAAUACCGAUGGCGAAGGCAGCCUCCUGGGCCAAUACUGACGCUCAUGCACGAAAGCGUGGGGAGCAAACAGGAUUAGAUACCCCCGUAGUCCCUGUCUCUUAUAC
rnacentral:rRNA from 1 species